GCCUACAUAUUAAAAUCUUAACAAAGCAAUAAUAACGAAAGAAACUACCCCAAACUGAGUCAAAAAAGGCAAGCACGUGUUUGAUCAGUUUAGAUCUCAUCAAAACUUUGAGAAAAAUUCCCAAUUAAACAAAUAAAACAAUUUAAAAGCAUAUAUCAGAUUAAAAGAAGAAAAUAUACCUUUGGAUCAGAAGGUUGCAAAAUCUAAUCCUCCAUGAACAAAUUUUCAAUUGUUUUUCAUGGCUUAAGGAACAUGAACAACUUGAUCCUCAUGUUUAUAAAAUUUGAACCUGAGUCCAUGCAAAAUUACCCCAUUUUAGCACCAAAAAGAGUAAAAGAAUUAUGUAUAACAAAUGUCCCUUCUAGAAUUGGUAACAAGUAAUUAAAAGGAGUACUUAAAUGAUUGAUGAAAACAAAUCAAUUGUUAAACAGAUUGGGAAAAACUCAUCUUUAAUUCAUACAAUUUUCUAAGACUAGAUAAAUGCUUCUAGAUUUUUAUGGAUUGAUCCAAUCAAUCAUAUAGUAUAUAUAUAAACUACUAGUAUUAUUCUCCCAAGUCUUUGCGAUGAUUAAGCCUUCAUGAUCAUUUCAACGCAAUGAUUUCACCGUUUAAAGCUUCAUUGGACACAUGGUAUAAGUAUUUUCAUCCGAAAGUUACGUUUUAUGACUGGAUCCCUAGAAUGGAACUUAAAUUACGUUUUAUGAUGAUCCCUAGAAUGCAACCUAAGUUAAGAAGUGGUGAAGUAAUAUUCUUAGAUUUAGUUAAGCUUCCAUUAAUUAAUUCCCAAUUCUUUCUUUAGUUCAAUUUUUGUCUAAAAUACAAGCUUUUAUCUUAUAAUAAAACAAUUAGAGUGGUUGAGAGCAUGAGACUAGAUGGAGACUUCGGAACAGGAACCAGUAAUACAACUCUGCAUAUUAACUACUUCUCACCUAAACAUUUAUUCAUUGGCCAUACUACUCUAUCAAAGUUUAAUUAUUCAUAUCAGUCAUCAGAUGGGAUAGCACAAAACAAGCCUUGAUGUAUGGAUAUGACCUAGCCAAAAGAAAACCAAAAAAAAUCAAAGACGGCAAUUAAAAAAAAAAAUUUUCAUUGCGGACCUAGCAAUAAUAAAAGAAAGAAAGAAGAACAAGAAAACCCGUUUUUCUUUUAUGAUUUUUCUUGAAAAUUGUAUCAAUAUUGGUUAUGAUUUUCUUCUCUUUUGUAUUGUAGUUUGAAAAUAAAAAAAAAAUUAUAAAUAUUAAAAUUUAAAUUCUAAAUUAAAUAAAUAUUAUAUUUUAAGAAUGACUAUAAAUCAAUUGAGCUAAUCUUCAAAUUCGUUAUGAUUGCCUUCAUUCUCAAUAUGUAGCUAGCUAGGCUUGUCUGGCCACUAUGUUUAAUCCUUGUACGCUACUCUUAGAUGAAAUUUAAGCCAAGAAAAUAAUCAAGAAACUUAAUACUGAUUUCUUCCUCAAAACCAAUGAAAAAGUAUGCUAAAAUUUCAUGAGUUUAUCUAAAAUAACUAGGGUUUGAAUUUGAACAUAUCAACAUAUCAGCAGCAUUUAACAUGACAGAGAUGAGAAUAAGUAAAUAAGGUUCCUGUUCACACACCAUAUCGACCAGAUCAAAAUAUACCCAUCCACACCAGACACCGCCAUAAAAGCUAGCCUUACCCCAAAUGUAAAUUGGUUUUGUAUUACUUAAAAGAAGAAAGAUUCUAUUUCCAAUGACCUGAAGAAAGAAACCUUCUCCUUUGCUUGCACAUGAAAUAACAACCAUAAUUUAUUGGUUGAGUGUUGUAUUGUUAAUUUUAGUGAUUAAAUUUUAAAUCAUGAUUUCCUUAAAUAUUA
rnacentral:lncRNA from 1 species